rnacentral:lncRNA from 1 species
UUAAAUAAAGUUUGAUUUAAAUUAAAAAUAAUAAACCAAAAGUAAAGUUACUUUUUUCUUGUCAUAGGGGCUCACCUUGUAAAAUAACACAAGGCCCCUUAGAUACAAGUACAUUACAUGGAGUCUCCCACUAAAUAAUAUAUUUAGGCUUUUAACAUAAAUAGUUAGUUAUCUUGCUUAUUAAUCCAAUAGUGGUGCAGUCAAUUAAAUGAACUAACCUGGGGAUCAUUUGGGAACAUACAAUAGUGAUUAUAAUAAUUAGGUCUGUAAUUAAACUAUCUCAAUUAUUUAAUUCCAAAUCUACUCCACUAAAAGAUUGGAACUUACCUCCAUAAUUGUAUGCUCGAAUAAUAAUUCGUCCCAAGCCACAUCGAUUUCUUUACUGCAUAAUCUUUUGUACCACAUCGUUAAUUAAAUCGAUAUCUCAACUGUCCAAUCGAUUUAAUUACAUCUUAUUCCUUGAUACUUACUGAUUUUCUCUAAUGAUCAGUUUCCAACAUAAUAAUAUAUGUUGACACACUAUGGCCAAAGAAUUCUAUGAUGAAGUGCCGAAAACACAUCAAGAGAUGUGUUGUACAAAUUCUAUAUUGUUAAUCUAUAACUCCAAUAUUCAUAAUUGCUCCCACCAAGAUACCAUAUAAUUUUGACUCUAAGUGCGUGUCGUGCCCAUCGGUAACUCAAAUGGAAUAACAAUUACAAUCAUGAAAUUAUAACUAACUCAAGAUUAAGAUUACAGUAAAAUCAAUGCAUAUAAGAUUUAAUAAGUCUGACAAUCAUUUCAACGUUAAUUAAAUCUCAUAUGUGAUCCAACUCAAUGUAGUCAAACUACAUUAGUAAAUUCAUACAUGAUUAAGACAAAUCAUUUAAUGAAUUUACUAUAGUCUAAAUAUAAAUAGAGCGCCCAACUUUAUUUAUCAACUGCGAACUUAAUUUAUUUAAUCAUAAGAUAACUUGUAUUUAUGUUUUCUGUGAAUCCAUGUAAUGAUCACAUAAAUACAUAUAAUAUGAUUAAACGGACCUUCAUCAAUAUGAUUAAGACAAAUCAUUUAAUGAAUUUACUAUAGUCUAAAUAUAAAUAGAGCGCCCAACUUUAUUUAUCAACUGCUAGAGGUGGCAAAAAUACCUGCCCGGUCCGGACCCGGACCGUACCCGGGUGUUACGGGCCGGGUAUUACCCGGCCCGGGUAUGAAGCCGGGUCGGUCUUGGGCAUCACUUGAUAAACCCGGAACCCGGAUUUUAUUAAAAAAAUUAUAAAAUAUAUAUUAUUUUAAAUAUUUUAUAUUUAUUUGACUUAUUUAUUAUAAUAUAUAAAGUUUUAAACACUUAAAGUUUAUAUUUUCAUGUCAAAUUUUAUUGAAAUAAAUUUAAAACUUAUAAAAUUAUCAAAAAAUAAAAAAUAUAUACACAUAAAAUAUUAAAAAAUAUAAAAUCUGGGUACCCGAAUUAAAACCCGGCCCGGACCGGUUGCAUCCGGGCAGGGUCCGGUCAUGGCAAUACCCGGACCCGGCCCGGGGUUUUGCCAUCUCUAUCAACUGCGAACUUAAUUUAUUUAAUCAUAAGAUAACUUGUAUUUAUGUUUUCUGUGAAUCCAUGUAAUGAUCACAUAAAUACAUAUAAUAUGAUUAAACGGACCUUCAUCAAUAUAUAUUUAUGCAAUUGAAAAUAUCUCAAAUAUUUUAUUAAUCAAAAAAUAAAUUAAUAUGCUUCAAAAGAGCAUAUAAUCCCAACAUUAAAUGCAUGCCACUAGCUAAUGAAAAAGUAAAGAAAAUAAUAACCAAUGGUAAUGGGAAUUAAAGUCAACCAAAGAUUGAUAGUCUAAAUGUAAGCAGAAGUUUAAGUCAAGAUAAUUAAAUUUUUUUUAUCAAUUGGAAGGAGAAUGGUAAAAAUUAAAAUAGGUUAAAAAAUUGCAAAGAGCGUGGGUGAUAUGUGAAGGAAAAAAGAGAAACUCUCUAAUUUUUUUAGAAAAUAUGAAUAAACGAAAUUUAAGUAUUAUUCAUAAAAAACAUUUUAUAUCUAAGUGGGAAAAGAAUAUCUACACCUCUAAAGUUUGGGAAAAUGGUUAUCAACACUCCUAAAUUUCCAAAAAGGGACACUAAGAUUCCUUUUUAACCUCAUCUAUAUUAUCCCAAAAAAAUUGACUCUAAUGUUUUAUAAUAA